rnacentral:pre_miRNA from 1 species
AAAUAGAUCGACUUGGACAUCGCUUGAUUUGAUUAUUAGUAUGUAUCACACUACACAGCACGACGGGCCAGCGACCAACAGGAACGAGUUUCUAAUAUAAUAUUGUAAUAUUCAUUUUGUUUUCAUGCGAUGUCCAAGUCGAUCUAUUU